rnacentral:rRNA from 1 species
GACGAACGCUGGCGGCGUGCUUAACACAUGCAAGUCGAACGGAAAGGCCCUGCUUUUGUGGGGUGCUCGAGUGGCGAACGGGUGAGUAACACGUGAGUAACCUGCCCUUGACUUUGGGAUAACUUCAGGAAACUGGGGCUAAUACCGGAUAGGAGCUCCUGCUGCAUGGUGGGGGUUGGAAAGUUUCGGCGGUUGGGGAUGGACUCGCGGCUUAUCAGCUUGUUCGUGGGGUAGUGGCUUACCAAGGCUUUGACGGGUAGCCGGCCUGAGAGGGUGACCGGCCACAUGGGGACUGAGAGACGGACCAGACUCCUACGGGAGGCAGCAGUGGGGAAUAUUGCACAAUGGGCGGAAGCCUGAUGCAGCAACGCCGCGUGCGGGAUGACGGCCUUCUGGUUGUAAACCGCUUUCGCCUGUGACGAAGCGUGAGUGACGGUAAUGGGUAAAGAAGCACCGGCUAACUACGUG